UACGUAGGGUGCGAGCGUUAAUCGGAAUUACUGGGCGUAAAGCGUGCGCAGGCGGUGAUGUAAGACAGAUGUGAAAUCCCCGGGCUCAACCUGGGAACUGCAUUUGUGACUGCAUCGCUGGAGUGCGGCAGAGGGGGGAUGGAAUUCCGCGUGUAGCAGUGAAAUGCGUAGAUAUGCGGAGGAACACCGAUGGCGAAGGCAAUCCCCUGGGCCUGCACUGACGCUCAUGCACGAAAGCGUGGGGAGCGAAACAGG
rnacentral:rRNA from 1 species